GGCAGUUUUGACAAACCAGAUUGACUGAGUUUAACCUUAUGCCUACAAGUUGUGCCAAUUAAUUUUUCACAGAAGCAUUCUGGUGAUGAAAGAGAAGUUGCAAAUCCCUGGUA